UCCCCCCCUCAUUCCAUCGUGACUAACGAGAAGGAGAACAGAAAAGAGCUCUGCUCUUCCUGCCUGCUGACCGUCGGCCAGCCUCCCUCCGGCGGUGUGUCUUUCUCUCCCUCGGGAUCCGACGCCAUCAUCGAUCACCGCUGCUACGCACCGCCUCAGCCGAACUCCCGAAAGAUUUGUAAAGGUCUUGAAAUCAUUGAAUCGGUGACAUAUCUGGGUUGUGGGGGCAGUCCUCGUGUCGAUGAGGUGUCUAAGUCCAUUCGCUGGAAUCCGGCAGAUUCAUACUUAAAGAGAUAAGUUUCCCAAUUGGCUUAUUCAUUAAAGUAUAUACUUACUUCUGCUACUUCAUGAAUUUAGUGAUUUUGGGGCAUUUGUUUCACUGAUAUCGAUGGAUUGUGGUGGAAGAUGUUAAACUUGUUGUUGUGAAUUUGUUAAUUUCAUUUUAACAGAUUCUAUUUGUCACUAUAUGUAUGCAUAUGCUUGUACAUAUGUGCAAGAAAAGAAAGGCUUAGGAUUUACCUUUUUAAUGGUGAAAAAGUGUUGUUGGAUUGUAGGACUAAAUCCUACAAUUAUCUGCAACUCUCCCUCCUCGACUCCUUAUCAAUCCUAUGUUGUGUUGGUGUGUGAAGAGAAUGUUUGAUGGUGAUGGGUGCUUGAAAGUGAGAAGACAAGACUUAAGGUUUAUAUACUCCCUUGUAUGUUGUUAUCCAAUUGGGGGAGGUGUAGCUUGGAGGGGAAGUAUGUAAGAGAUAUUUUGGAUCCUAUGGCCAAAAUGUAUUUUGAGAAUGGAGGGACUAUCUUAGACGUUAAUUAUUCUUUGUUGAAAUCUUUGAUCUGAUGUGGAGAUAAAUCUCCCCUGUUACUCAUAUUUAUAUUUAACUUGGUAAAGUUAAUCUUCAUUGUUAUAUUUGUAUGUCAGCUUUUGAGUAUUUUAUGUAUAUCUCCUUGGUUGAUCCUAUGGCUAAGAAGCAUUUUGAAAAUGUGAUGGGAGCAUAUAAGACCUUGAUUCUUCUGAUUUAUAUUUAAUUCCCACUUGCUAAAAUCUUCUAAAGGAUUUUGUUUAUCCAUAUUUUAGCAUAUCUUACUUCUCGAAUUUUCUAUCUUAUGUAGGUAAUAGGAUUUAUUUAAAGAUCAUGGCAAAUUCUUGUUGACAGAUCGGACUUCCUUUGGAUACGAGCACGACCGUUUUAAGGGCUGUCCGGAUUUGCACAUUUCUCUAAUUGUAAUAGAUUAGGAACUUGAUAAAUUGGUAUAAUACUUAGUACUUUAGUGGACUUCGGAGAUGCACCAGACAUUAUAAACUUUUAUUUGGGGUUACUUACUACUUCUUUUUUUUUUUGGUA